CACAUAUAGUCGGGGGGCCUAAUAGGCUGAGAUCGCAUAUUUAUUGCGAGACCCGUUGAACCUGAUUCAGUUAACACUGACGUAGAGAACUAUCGAUCUUGCUUC
rfam:Moritella viscosa genome assembly, chromosome: 1